GCGCAGACGCCCCUCGGGGAUUCCCCGGUCUCUGGCGGGAUCUAGGGAGACCAGUCCUACCAGAACGGGUCGGUCCAGCAGCGUGGUCGGGUCGGCCAUCCGCAGACGCGAGUCGGUCGAGAGGACCGCGCCCUCCCGCGCGCCCACCGCCACGCUGCGGCUGCUGCGACAAACUAGGGAUGCAGAGGGAACGCUGAGGAGCCCCGAAGACAGUUCGGCGUGCGACGGCGGCCGCGGCAGGGACGACGACUCGGAGGCCUCCAGCGUCUGCUCUGAGAGGAGUCUGGACUCCUACAGGAGG